rnacentral:lncRNA from 1 species
UGGAGGAUGACAAGCGGAACACAGACACUCAGACUGAUGACCCUGGCGAGAAAUAUCUGAUCCGAGCUGGGACCAGAACAAUCAAACUCUACACUCGAGUGCCAGGGAAUGUGAAGGACUACUGUACAACUUUGUUGAGUUCACUAGAUGCUAAAAAGCAAACUGAAAAGACGUCAGUGGAAGAGUGUGAUGUCAUCCUGGCUUUCUGCCCCGUUGUGUCUCGGCUUGGAACAGAUGUUGAAGCAGCUCUUGACAAGAUUCCAGGUAUAUUUACAAAUUACAGAGUAGAUCUCUAAUAAAUCCCAAUGCAUAAUGACCCUAAUCGUUGAUGCUUGUCAUAACUUUGCGUUUAUUUACUGCUUCAUGGUGAGUUUUAAUGUACAGUAAUAACCAUUUUCUUUUAUAUCUAAUGCCUCUGACAGAUGCAAAGCCUUGCAUCCUGGUGGUGAUGCAUAUCACAGUUGAUCCAUAUUUUGUUACGCCGAACAGCAGUAGAUUUGCUAAAGGCAGGGGCGUGGACACUGUGGACUAUCUGUGCUAUGAAGACGGGGGAUCAAUUAAGAGUGAAAAAAUCUCUGAAGCAGUUUUUCAAAUCCGCAGACACCUGGAAGAAUAUGCUAAGGUUUGAAUGUGUUUACUCAUUUUCUUAAUAUUGUAUCUUGUCAGUAUAACCUGUAGCAUCUCAGUCCUCUGUUUCCCAGGCAGCAACACAUCAAUUCACUGUUAAAACCUUUUCAUUUGUGCUUUUUAUAGAAGGAUCAACACAUGCAGACACAUGAAGCUGGAACAGGAAGGAUUCCAGCCAUCAUGUCAGUUUUGUCACAACUCUGUAAGUUUCUUUCUGUCCUCUCUCAUUCUCUCUCUCUCUCUCUCUCUCUGUCUCUCAUUUACACAGGGCCUGAGAGGAAAUGCCAGGCAGAGGGGUCCAGUUGAAAUGCUAAUACGUCUCUCUCCAACCAUCUGGCGGCUGAAGCUAAAAGGAUGGGCUCUUUCCAUGGUUCCUUUCAAAAUGGCAUGGGGAAAGAUUCAAGCCAUCAUUUCAGUUUUGUCACAAAUCUGGGCUCUUCACAUGGUUCCCUUCAAAAUGGCAAGAGACAUUUUUUUCUGGGCAUGGGGAAGGAUUCAAGCCAUCAUUUCAGUUUUGUCACAAACCUUGGAGGAUGACAAGCAGAACACAGACACUCAGCCUGAUGACCCUGGCUUUGUCUCUACGGAUCAACACAUGCAGACACAAGAAGCUGGAACAGGAAGGUUUCCAGCCAUCAUGUCAGUUUUGUCACAACUCUGUAAGUUUCUUUCUGUCCUCUCUCUCUCUCUCUCACACACACACACACACACACACAUACACACCAUAGGAUUCAACUUCAUGGGUGCUCUUUAA